CCCCCUCACUUUGUGAGUUGUCACGUUUGUCAUUCUAGGAUAAACUUUCAGCCGGUGCAGCACGUACUUUGGGGUCAUUGCCCUGUGUUACCCCAAGGAUUGUUCAAAUAUUUGUGAUCUUGUCAAUCUCCCUCUUACUGGACGUGUGUCAUGGCAGUGUGGGAGGGGCAUUUUAUUCAAGGGGGAUAAAUGUGAGCCAGUGAGUAGCAACCAGCCCUUCAAGGGAGGCCAUGGAAGGCAGGUAGUAAAUACACUACUUCUUGGCCCAAGGUCGUAUGCAGGUGACCUUCAAGAGGAAAGAGGGAGGUUCACGAGUGCCCUGAAUUCCAUCCACAGAGCUAUUGGAUGUUUGGAGCCCAGGUGAAGAUCCCAGAGCUGGGGAAUGAAAGGUUGGAAAAGCCCAGCCAGCUGUGCCAGCCUCCAGAGACACUCUCUUGACUGCGAGGAAAGUGAUAGCCUGCUGGGCUGGACCUGGACUUUGAGACAGAACUUUCGAAUCCGAAGAAGAGAUGAUUUUCAGAUAGUCCUCCUUCCAGGUUCCGGGAAAGGCCAGGCGGGUGUCAGAGGUCUUUGUCAACCCGCUGAGUCAGCAGAGGCAGAAGGCAUUCUUCUUAAGUUCCCAGGGAGAGACUGGAG
ensembl:lincRNA